rnacentral:ncRNA from 1 species
UUGAGCUGUAUGAUGGGAAACUAUCACGUACAGUUCUUAUGGGGCGAAGGGCCGCAAGGCCCUUAGCUACCAGGU